CGCAUGCGCAUACCAUUCCCUUCUCCUGGAAUUCGGCUUGCUGGGAAAAAAAGGCGCGCAGGCGCCGACCGCUUGAGUUCCAAUGCGAGUCUAUAUAGGCCUAAAAUCGAAGGCGAGAACGCGUGAGCGCGUGGACCGCAUUGCGGGGUGAGGGUUCCAUUGGUCAUUGCCGAGACUUCCCCCGCCCUUUACCCCUCCCGGUAUGGUUUGAACGGGGGGGCAACGGCAAAGUCAAACGGUUCUGCUGGAGUUGCUCCCGCUCGAAAGGAAAACGCUCCCCCCCAUUAGGAGGGGGAGUAGCCGCGUGAAGGCGGCCGUUGUCUCCUCGGCAUCCUCUGGCCGGCGGCUUUAUCUUCCAAUUAAGGAAGGGUUUCUUUCUCCCGUUCCCAUUUGUCUGUCUUAGAGGAAUUAUAUUGGAAUUGGAUAGGCCUCGCCUCGCUCGCCAUUUGGUCUCCUUGUGUCGCUCUGGGUGCGAGAAGGUGGCAAAGAAACGCGCACGUGGCUGUAAAACCCUAAAAAGAAUACAAAUACAAAAAAGCCUUUCAGCGAGGUCCGUUUUAAAGAAGGAACUACCUAACAAUUCAAGGAUAUUUAUGGAAUUUCAAGGAAAUAUGCAAAAUCUCAAAAGUUCAUUCGUACUGUGAAAGUGAACCCUUAUGGGGAAUGCAUCUAUGCCCAGAGGAUAGAAGAAAGAUAUGAGCCCCUGCCUGGUUGGUGCUUCUUUGGGGCCUUUAAGCAAUUAGAGGCUAAAGAGCAUCUGGCAAUUCCCGUCCUACCUGUUGACACUGGAGGCCUCUGGAGGAUUGGCAGAGAAGAAGAACUAAACUAUGACUGCUAGUACACCAGUCAAGUCUUUGGAAGCUGGCGGUACAGUGCAGUAGCAAUGAUGGAGCUAGCAGUGUUGGAGAUGCUUGGCAGCCAGUCUUUGUGAAAGAUGCAGUGGUGGCAAUAGUGGUGGAUCCUUCUCAGAGGUGAGACAUUUGGAUGUAGUAGAAUGGUUAUUUUUUUAAAAAAAGUGGGUGGACCAUACAAGGGUGCUUGGUGGGCCACGUGUGGUCCGCAGGCUGUGUGUCGUACAGGCUCUGUUGCACAUGCAUUUGCAUGUAAUCUUUUUUGGGCCUGCCUUGUACAUUUGAAAAGUGUGAUGUCUGAAUUUAGUCUCAUUUCCCUCUCAGAUUCCUCCUCCUCAGAACAUGGAACAAAGCAUUAUCUGCCAAGCCCACCUAUAUAAAACACAACUGUCUCGACUUUGUUAUUUUAGGAGCUGCAAUUCUGGCCCUUUUGAGUAAGUCAGCAUCUAGAGAAAAACAUUGUAGGAGCAGCAGGCUGGGAUUGCUUUGGUGAAUAAAUCUCCUGUGAUGUCACUGGCAUUAUCACCAAAUGCCCAUAAUUCUGAGAAUCGUGUUCCAUUUUCUCCCCACUGCAUACUAGUACAGUAGACCUAUUUACUUACAGUGUGGUUGUUAGCUUUCCUGCCACAUAAAUAGUCUGAAUGCUGGAGAAAUGAACAUCCCUACACCAAAGACAUUCAGCUGUGAACAGUUCUCUGGAUUCAUUAAAAAGCAAUGAAUAAGUAACAGUUGAUUUGAAAAAAAAAAAAAACAGAAAAAACAAGAGAAAAAAAUAGAUUUACCACAAUAGUAAAAAAUGCUCUAGGUCCAUCUAGUGGAAGGAGAGAAAAAAAUUAAGUUACAAGUUUUUGUAGAAUGAUGCAUGAGGAGGAAAAAAAAGGUUUCCUUGCAAAGGACAAAUAAUUUAACUGAAGUUUAUUGUAAAUGUCAAGGCACUAAGACAGGCCACCCAUUAAUUUGCAACCUGUGGGCCUAUCAGUGAGAAUCUCUUGAGUUCUAGGAAUUCUGAGCUAAUAUUUCCAAAGGUAUACACAAUGCCAUCAAAACCAGCAUACUUUGAAGGGUACUACUUGUUCUUCUGAAAAUGUCAGCCGUGAAUUAUCAUGAUUUUGCAGUGCUUCCAUCCACGAACUAUAAUAUCAUCUUGACUUUCAUCUCUCAAAUAGCUAUUCCUGGGAGCAGAGAAAGCUGAUUGAAUACAGAGUAAUGUGUAUGGGAACACCUCUCAGGACCUUGGAGAUGCCCACAUACACACGAAACAAUUUAGUACUGUAAAAUGCAUCUAUUCAUUCUGUCUUUGGUGUAUCAAGAACUCAUUUCUUUUCUGAGUACUCAUCUCUUUAAAAUUACUUUGCCUUUAUCUUUUUAGUACACUGAUGACAGAUUAAUAGAGUGCUUAGAAUUCUUUUUGCUAUUUCCUCCCAAACAAAUCUUCAUCAUAUCGCUUAUGUUCCAAAAAAAGUAUGGGUUGUUGUUAACAUAUAUAACCUGCCUUUCCUCUGUGAGUUCAUAAGGGGGUUUGGAAUCUUCAUAUUAUCUUUACAAUAACUCUGAAAAAUAGAUUGGGCUGGAAGGCAGUCAUUGGACCAAAACAAACCAGGCAUUUCCACCCAGCUCUAUUAUCACCUCAGAACUAUUCUUAUAAUGUCUCACAAUUGUCUUGAUCUGAAUCUGAAGGAAUAGCAAGAAGAGACCCCUUUCAUUAGACUCAGAUGUCUACCCUUGACCAGAGCUCCCCAGCCUUCCUUCUUGUCUCUGUUUGUUUUCUUACAAUAAAGGGACAGAAGAUCCAAACUAGUUUGUCUCACUGGGAAGAACAGCCCCAGCAAUUGGAGGUUGGAAAUGACAGAGUUUUAGACUUAUUAAACUUAUUCACUUGGUUCAUUAUUCAAUAUACAUAGUAAUGCAUUGUUGUCAAUUUCUUGUUUUUCAUCAUUUGGAGCUAUGAUGCCAGCCACUAUUUCCCAGGGGAAAGAAAAAUAUGUAUUGAACGUUGUCAUAUGAGAAGCGGGAGUCUGAAAUUAUUUGCAAAGCACUUUCUCUUUCAAUAUAAUACUCCAGGUUCAUUGCUAUUUGGCAUAAUAAACUUAGUCAGUAUUUACUUAUCUAAACAGAUAAACAGAAUGACCAGAGACAGGCAAAAAAAGCAAUGGGAGCGGGAGCAACUUUCAACUUUCUGCUGGCUUCCCCCUUGAUUUUGCUUGUGGGAAACAUCAUGAGUUGAGGGAUUGGAUCCAGACUUAAUCCACUAUUCUACAUAUAGAGAAAAAUUCCUUUGUUUUUGAUAACAAAAUUCCAUCCUUAGCUACAUUUGUUCUUGAUGGGAAAGAAAAAACUGUCAACCUAAUUUUAGUCUAGAUCUAAAACAAAGGGAAGGAAUAGCAAGAGCAAAAAAUAUCAGAAGGAGAGGAAUGGACAAUGCAGCUGCUGAUGACAGAUGUCAGACCAAUUUUUGGGCAUGACUCCAUAGUAUUUAUCAUGGAGUCCUGUCUCCUUGUUUCCUCUCCUCUCCUCAUGGCUCACGCAGAUAAGAGACUAUUGUGAUGUAGGGAAGUGCUGACCAUUUCUCUAAGUCUAGCCAAGUAGGACUGAGCAGAGUUUUGUAGGAAAUAUAAUUUGUGAAUUGGAAUGGCCAGAGUUUGAGUUUCACUUUACAUUGGCUAAUACUGGGAAAGUAAGGAAUAGGAAAUAGGGAUUGCCACAAAGAAGAGGGAGUUAAUCUAUUCUCCAAAACACCUGAAGGCAGGGCAAGAAGCAAUGGAUGGAAACUA